AUUACCCAAUCCCGAUUCGGGGAGGUAGUGACAAUAAAUAACAAUACAGGGCCAACGGUCUUGUUAUUGGAAUGAGAACAAUUUAAAUAACUUAACGAGGAUCAAUUAGAGGGCAAGUCUGGUGCCAGCAGCCGCGGUAAUUCCAGCUCUAAUAGCGUAUAUUAAAGUUGUUGCAGUUAAAAAGCUCGUAGUCGGAUGUCGGGCUCGGGCAGGCUGUCGGCUUCGGUCGGACGGCAGGCUCGGGUCUUUCUGCCUGAGGAUCCCGUUGCACUUAAUUGUGGGGCGUGGGGACGCAGGCCGUUUACUUUGAAAAAAUUAGAGUGUUCAAAGCAGGCCUACGCUUGAAUACAUUAGCAUGGAAUAAUGGAAUAGGACUUUGGUGCUAUUUUGUUGGUUUAUGGGACCGAAGUAAUGAUUAACAGGGACAGUUGGGGCCGUUUAUAUUUCGUUGUCAGAGGUGAAAUUCUUGGAUUUACGAAAGAUAAACUUCUGCGAAAGCAUUCGGCAAGGAUGUUUUCAUUGAUCAAGAACGAAAGUUAGGGGAUCGAAGACGAUCAAAUACCGUCGUAGUCUUAACCAUAAACUAUGCCGACUAGGGAUCAGUGGAUGUCAAUUUGCGACUCCAUUGGCACCUUGUGAGAAAUCAAAGUUUUUGGGUUCCGGGGGGAGUAUGGUCGCAAGGCUGAAACUUAAAGGAAUUGACGGAAGGGCACCACCAGGAGUGGAGCCUGCGGCUUAAUUUGACUCAACACGGGGAAACUUACCAGGUCCAGACAUAGUAAGGAUUGACAGAUUGAAA
rnacentral:rRNA from 1 species